AUUGAACGCUGGCGGCAGGCCUAACACAUGCAAGUCGAACGAGUGGCGGACGGGCGAGUAAUGGAUGGGAAUCUAGCUUAUGGAGGGGGAUAACUACGGGAAACUGUAGCUAAUACCGCGUACCAUAGGAUGAGCUCACGUGGGAUUAGGUAGUGGGUGGGGUAAAGGCUCACCAAGCCGACGAUCCCUAGCUGGUCUGAGAGGAAGACCGGCCACACUGGGACUGAGACACGGCCCAGACUCCUACGGGAGGCAGCAGUGGGGAAUAUUGCGCAAUGGGGGCAACCUGACGCAGCCAUGCCGCGUGAAUGAAGAAGGCCUUCGGAUUGUAAAGUUCUUUCGGUAGCGAGGCGUUAACUACAGAAGAAGCACCGGCUAACUCCGUGCCAGCCGCCGCGGUAAUAC
rnacentral:rRNA from 1 species